ensembl:lncRNA
GGGAUGAGGAGUAUUGCAAAAGCUACAAAGUUAGAAUUACACAUGUUCCUACAGCAGUAGGGACAUACUUGCUGAAGAAACUUUCAGAUGAGCCAAGGCUGUGGCCAACCCCUGUGCUCCAGAGGAAAGGAAGGAAAAGAAACACCAUGAGCCCAAUUCUCCCAUAACUCCUCAAAAAUGUCCCUUGCAUGGAGCUCUUGUGCCCCUCAGCAAAUCCCCUCAGGGGAUUUUGUCCCCUGCUCUGGGUCGGUAUGGUACCUGCCUACUGAAGAUAAGGCAUUUGUGCAAUGUCUUUGGCCAAUAUUUCCCAUUCAUCCUUCUCCUAAUGACAGCAAGAUUAACAAUUUAUUAUUAUUCAUAAUAGUACAGUCUAUUUAAGAAAAGCAAUUUGAACCAACCUGCCUGUAUCAAAACAAAAGCUUGUAAAAUCAUAAUAUUCUCUAUUUUCACAUCUCUGAUCCAAGCUUCUUGUGCAAGUUACCACUCUACAUUGUUAAAAGCUGAAAGCACCUAAUGCUGCAGGACAGAGGUUACCAUGGCCUUUCACCCAUCGUGUAGUAUUUUUUUUUUCUGCAUGGGAAACAACAGGGAGUAAAUGGAGUUGAGAAGCGAGUAAAGACUGCUGUCUGCAAUGGAGAAUGCAAUAGGUGGAACGUAAAUAAUUACCCGGGAGGUACAGGGCCCUCCCAGGCAUGUGUGACGGGAAAAUCACAGCACAGAUGGACGUGGCUGUGGUCCAUAUUAAUUUACGACAGUGAUUAUCUAGGCAAUGGGGCUGCUCACUUCAUUCGGAGAGAGAGCUUGCACCCCAAAAGCAGAACAGCAAAGCUAACGGCAGAGGAGCUGCUUUAUUAGCAUGGUCACAAGCAAGUCACUUUGCAAGGAUCAGGGUAGGCUCAGGAAUAUUUCAGCAAUACUCAGCAGUAAGGAGUUCUGUCAGAGCUUCCUGUGUCUGGAAAGGUUUUUGUGGGAGAGCACAGAAGAACACUUGUCACUGCUGUGUGGAAAGUCUUGAUGCAGCACUCCAGCUUUUAAAAACAACAGCUUUCUAUGACUGCCCAAAGUUUCUUCAUAAUUGGCUUAGAACAGCAGAGACCACCAGGCUGCAAGCAGCGCUUAUUCACUGUGUUAUAACAUUUAAGAACAACAAGUUGGGGCGCUAUUGAUUUUCUUAUGCUAAUAAAGAUGGUCAGGUGGAAUUUUCAAAGUGAGAUCUUUCCACCGAGUGCUUUUCCUUUCCAAUCGUCCAAGCAAGCAGCUGCGUCUCGCCGUGUGCCUCUCCUCCUGGCCAUUGGGCAGACUCAGAGAGCUGACCUGCUCUUUUUGCUGCUUGGAAGGUUUUGCUGAAGGAAGGAAUACCGAUGGCUGGAGGAGCAUGAUGUGAUGGAUGUGCAGAAGAAACAGCCUUGUAGCUGAUACAGUUGAUGAUCUGCUCACAAGCACUUUUCUUUGAAAAAGAGCGUUGAAGCUUCAGUGAAGUUGGGCCUCAGCGCAUCUGCCUCGUGAACGCUGGACAGAAACGUUAGAAGCGCUGCCACAGUGACUUACCAGAGGGGCCUGUAGCUCUGGAGCGGCCUUGGCCAUGCCAAGAAACCCCUUGGGAUGAAUUCCUUUUUUGUGCACAUUGCUGGUCAUAGCCAUGUAAUAAUGCAGCCUUGCCUCGCCACUUGCAUGAACUUUGCUCUUAAGUAGAGCCCGAGCCAUUUCUAAACAAAGGCCUAAAUGUGAAAUUACAGUCAACUUCCAUGCCUAUGUUAUUACGAGAUUUUAAUUUUUCUAGGGAAUGAACAAUAGCAACUAUUUGGCUGCGCUGUUUUCCCGGGCGCUGGCACAAUGUGCAUCUUCUGUAAACUGACAUCUCAUGAUUUUGUCUGAAAAUGGAAUAUUUAACUGCGCACAUUUUCUUCUCUCAUAUUGGGUUUCAUUCAAAUGGUCUUAAACUUGUAUUUCUUUAUUGCUUAUUAACUUUAAUGAGGUAUGAAUAUAAAAGAGAAUAUUAAAAGGCUUUUCUUUUUCAAAAAGGCAUUUCUUUACAAACAGUGUUGACGUUAUCAAGUAGGUGAGUCUAAGCCCUUAAAUUUAUUUUUGAUCUUGUAGUCAUUAAAAAAAGAAUAUGAGAUUAAAAAACCUUCAAAUUAGGCAACUAGGAUUAAAAGCUUUCUAUUGUUUGGCUUAAUAACACAAUUUAAGUGUGAAUACUUCAGAAGUGUAGGAAGCCUUUAUGCUUCCAUACCUUAUGUAUUUUGUUUAUUUCUAUGAAAGUACUUUAAAGAUUUAAAUCUCCUACAGCAAAUAAACUAUGCUCAUGCUUGGAAAACGAGAUACUGCGAGGGAUUUUGGGCUUGGAAAUAUUCUGAGUAUCUAUUAUGCAUAAAAAUAAAAAUUUCUGAAGACAAAUGCACAACAGUCAUUACAAGUUUUGUUUUUCUAUAUUCCUAAGUUUGGUGUAUUUUCUUUUAACAAAUUAUUUUGGGUGCAACACAAGCACAGGAAUAUCCUUCUUUCAGUGUCUGAUCCGCUGAGCCAAUGUGCCUUAUUAACAAUACAUGAGGAGCGUACCUAAAUAUAUUUAAGGAAAUUCAACUUGACUCUCGUUAUUUACAAUUCAAAUGUUCAAUCUUGCUUUGGAAAUCUGAUUUUCAGUGUACGUUAAAUAAACAUGUUUUAUAUGAAGAGGCAUCUCCUU